rnacentral:rRNA from 1 species
UACGGAGGGUGCGAGCGUUGUCCGGAAUCAUUGGGCGUAAAGGGCGCGUAGGUGGCCCGGUCAGUCCGUGGUGAAAGCGCGGGGCUCAACCCUGCGUCGGCCAUGGAUACUGCCGCGGCUCGAGCACUGUAGAGGCAGGCGGAAUUCCGGGUGAGCGGUGGAAUGCGUAGAGGAUCCGGAAGAACACCGGUGGCGAAGGCGGC